rnacentral:snRNA from 1 species
GAUCAAAGUGUAGUAUCUGUUCUUAUCAGCUUAAUAUCUGAUACGCUCCGCAUCGCGGAGCCAGAAUAUUAAACUGAUUUUUGAAACUAGGUGGGGUGUUCGGGGCUUGCUCCACCCCUGCCACGGGUUGGC